rnacentral:rRNA from 1 species
AUGAACGCUGGCGGCGUGCUUAACACAUGCAAGUCGAACGGUGAAGGAGAGCUUGCUCUUUGGAUCAGUGGCGAACGGGUGAGUAACACGUGAGCAAUCUGCCCCUGACUCUGGGAUAACAGCUGGAAACAGCCGCUAAUACCGGAUACGAGCUGCGAAGGCAUCUUCAGCAGUUGGAAAGAAUUUCGGUCAGGGAUGAGCUCGCGGCCUAUCAGCUAGUUGGUGAGGUAAUAGCUCACCAAGGCGUCGACGGGUAGCCGGCCUGAGAGGGUGACCGGCCACACUGGGACUGAGACACGGCCCAGACUCCUACGGGAGGCAGC